AUGUUGCUCCUGGAAGAUUCUGCGUCCAGUAACUCUGCCCCAGUUCUUGCAAAUGUUGAUGGAAAAGCCCCUCAAGGGGCUACGCCUCAUAAACCAGCUCCCAAAGAUGUACAGGAGCUGAAGAAGAAUUUACCAGUUACCCAACCCUCUGAAUCACCGCCCCCUGAGCCGACCAAGGAGGCUAAAGAAGGGACGGUUUCAGUACAGCCCGAAUUUGACAAACCCCUCCGGACCCCACAUCAAACGUCCCCACAGCUGCGUAAGCUAAACGGUACUCAGGUAAAUUCAGACUCCAUCAUCAAGGACAGAUAUGUCGGAUCUCCAAGUCGCAAAUUUAGUCCGAUACUAGAUCGUAAACUACGCAACCUGAAGAGUGGUGAAGCCCACGGGGCUCGAGAUGGACCUGCCGCGUCCCCUCUGGCUCUUUUAAUGGCGGCUAAAGAAAGAGACAAACAAAAAUCGGCUUCCUUUGUAUCACAGGAAAACAGGAGCAAGGCGAUUGAGCAGCCAAGCGCCAGCAUUCAACCGAAUGACAUCGGUCCCAAUUCAUUUAGUGUCACCCCGAUGUCCAGCUCGUCCUCUUCUCUAACGUCUUUGGACAGAGUACAGGAGGGUCUAAAGUCCGUCUGUCCAGUGGCACAAACAGUUCAGCCUCCAAUCAAAUCCAGCAGUGUCGCUCCGGCCAAGGAUCCGAUGUCAUCCGCGGGUUCAGCUCUCAGAGGGACGGUAGCGUCCCCAAGUGCGACCAACUUGGUUGAGCAGAAGCCAAGCGCAACACAAAGCCCCUCAAUUUCACAACACACACAGCCUGAGGAGAUAAUUAUGCCAUUACUCCCUCCGCCGCCAGAGUUUGGAGAUUUGGAUGACAUUGUGGAGCCGCCUCCCUCCAUGCGUCCCCCUGACCCUCCCAGGAAAAAGGCACCAACAGUAACUGAGGUCCCUCGCCCUCCAUCCCAUGUUCCUCCUCCCCCACCGAGACCCAAAAUACCAGAAGCUCCAAAACUCCCCCCUCCUGAAAUCAUCGCCAAACCAAUGCAGCAAACUCAGAUGAAACCCAAGACAGCCCCCGCUCAGCUCCCAGCCACUAUUUCACCCAACCAGGCCACGCUGCUGAGCAUCCUCCAAAAGAAGAUGAUGGAAAUGGACCCGAAAAUGGCCCCGGCGAACGAGGCAGAGUCCUCCUCUGAUGACUGGGGCGCCCCCAUGUACGAUGAGGACAAUAAAGUCCCUGUUGUCCAGACAGCCGCACCACAGAGCAAGAAUUACCCUGUGGUCAACAAAGCAGCAACGUUGAACAUGCAGGAGCUGGAGCGUAAAGUGGCCAAAAAGUAUGAGGAAACCUCUUCAGGGAAAGUUCCCAAGAGGUAA
ensembl:lncRNA